GCAUAUGGCAGUACAUAUGCAAAAAUUGGAAUGGUACAGAGAAGAUUAGUAUGGUCCCUGUAAAGGAAGACACACAAAUUUGUGAAGAGGUACACAUGGGG
rnacentral:snRNA from 1 species